rnacentral:rRNA from 1 species
UACGUAGGUGGCAAGCGUUGUCCGGAAUUAUUGGGCGUAAAGCGCGCGCAGGUGGUUUCUUAAGUCUGAUGUGAAAGCCCACGACUCAACCGUGGAGGGUCAUUGGAAACUGGGGAACUUGAGUGCAGGAGAGAAGAGUGGAAUUCCACGUGUAGCGGUGAAAUGCGUAGAGAUGUGGAGGAACACCAGUGGCGAAGGCGACUCUUUGGCCUGUAACUGACACUGAGGCGCGAAAGCGUGGGGAGCAAACAGG